GUCCCCUGGGGGGUCCCUGUCCCAGUUUGGGGUCCCUGUCCCAGUUUGGGGGGUCCCUGUCCCAGUUUGGGGGGGCUCAGUCCCAGUUUGGGGGGUCCCUGUCCCAGUUUGGGGGGUCCCUGUCCCAGUUUGGGGGGUCCCUUUCCCCAAUUUUGGGGUCUCUCUUCCCAAUUUUGGGGUCUCUCCCCAUUUUUGGGGUCUCUCCCCAUUUUUGGGGUCUCUCUCCCCAUUUUUGGGGUCUCCCCCCCAAUUUCUGGGGUCUCCCCCCAAUUUUGGGGUCCCUGUCCCCAUUUUUGGGGUCCCUGUCCCCAAUUUUGGGGUCUCUCCCCCCAAUUUUGGGGUCCCUGUCCCCAUUUUUGGGGUCCCUGUCCCCAAUUCUGGGGUCUCUCUCCCCAAUUUUGGGGUCCCUGUCCCCAUUUUUGGGGUCCCUGUCCCAAAUUUUGGGGUCUCACUCCCCAUUUUUGGGGUCUCCCCCCCAAUUUUGGGGUCCCUUUCCCCAAUUUUGGGGUCUCACUCCCCAAUUUUGGGGUCCCUGUCCCAAAUUUUGGGGUCUCACUCCCCAUUUUUGGGGUCUCUCUCCCCAUUUUUGGGGUCUCUCUCCCCAAUUUUGGGGUCCCUGUCCCCAAUUCUGGGGUCUCCCCCCAAUUUUGGGGUCCCUCUCCCCGUUUUUGGGGUCCCCUCACCCCAGUUUCCCCCGCAGGCACCCAGGACAUCGUGUUUGGGGAGGUCGAUCGAUGAGGGGGGGUCCCCAACUUCCGGAUCCCAAAUUUUGGGGUCCCCCCACCCCAAUUUCCAGCCCAAUAAAGACAAAUUCGGGUCCUGAGCUCCGAGUCCCCUUUGUGCCCCCCCUUCCCCCAGUUUGGGGGUCCCUGUCCCAGUUUGGGGGGUCCCUGUCCCAGUUUGGGGUCCCUGUCCCAGUUUGGGGGGUCCCUGUCCCAGUUUGGGGGGUCUCUGUCCCAGUUUGGGGGGGCUCUGUCCCAGUUUGGGGGGGCUCUGUCCCAGUUUGGGGUCCCUGUCCCAGUUUGGGGGGGCUCUGUCCCAGUUUGGGGGGGCUCUGUCCCAGUUUGGGGGGUCCCUGUCCCAGUUUGGGGGGUCCCUGUCCCAGUUUGGGGGUCCCUGUCCCAGUUUGGGGGGGUCUUUCCUCACUUUGGGGGUCCCUUCCCCAAUUUGGGGGGUCCUUCCUCACUUUUGGGGGGUCUUUCCUCAUUUUGGGGGUUCCUUCCCCAAUUUGGGAUUUUUUUUCCCCAUUUUGGGGCCCCUCCCUCCGAUUUGGGGGGGCUCCUUCCUCUUCUGGCAUUUCCUUCCCCAUUUUUGGGGGGCUCCUUCCUCAUUUCUGCUCUUUCUUCCCAAAUUUUGGGGCUCCCCCUCCCCC
rnacentral:lncRNA from 1 species